UUUGUUCUUUCAACAUUGCAGCAGAUCGAACUUGUUGCACACAAGUUUAUCCAAUCGUGUUGUGCCAUACAAGGGAGAUGGCUUACCAGAUUUGUCACGAGUUCGAGAGAUUUAGUAUGUACUUACAUGAUCUCAAGGUUACUAUCUUUUAUGGUGGUGUUGGGAAAGCAACAUGGGAACUGAGCUUGGAUGGUAUUUUUGGCACUGGAAGAGGCUCCACUAUUGUUGUAACGAAGUUGUUUAAUAUAGUUGAGCCUAAUGUUGUUGUGAUAUUGAGGAGUGCCAAUCAGGAAAAGCUAGAGGAAAUGCUAGCAGCGUCUUUUAUGCAAAGAAAUUAACUAGAGGAAAUGUUGACUGUAAGCUAUUUGAUGAAAUGCUUGAGAGAGUGUUAAAACUUGUUUAUAGACUUGGGAGCUGACAACUUAUGUGGUGUGUCUAUUUUGAUUAUGCUAUUGUGGCUGUUGUGGUGCGUACUACAAUGCGGAGGUGUAAGAGUGGAAAUUGUGGACAUUUGGCUUAGGUGGCUUUAUCAAAUGGGACACAUCAGAUGAUAAUGUUGAUAUGGCUUUGAGUUUGUAUGAUCGAGCAAGAAUUGAAAAGGGGCACAUUGACCCAAUGACAUUCUCGACAUUGAUUAAAGUGUGUUGUGACUGGAACAAUGAUGACGAGUUGGAAGUUAAUGACUUGUCUUUAUCUUGUUGUUCAAGCUUGACACCAAAUGGAAAGGCUAUUGUGGGGAGGCAUGCUCAACUGCUGGUUGUUCCAACUCCAAGUUGAUUGACCACUUCAUUGGGAUGAGAUUCUCUAAAAGGAUGGUCCCAUACAAGAUUGUUAGGGGUCCAAAUGAAGAUGGCCAUAUUUUUGAGCUCCCAAGUAUUCAGAAGGUAAUUAUUUUUCCUGGUAGAAAGCUGGACUAUGAAAUGACUGCUGUGGGAAGCUAAAAGACACGCAGAAUUGCAUUACAACUAUUGAAUUUGCUACAGAAAAUCCUUGGAUUUGCUCAAUUUAAAAUUGGGUUUUCUGAAGAUCAAAGGGAAAAUAGAAGUUUGUAAGUACUUGUUGGGGAAAUUGAAACUCGAUGAUGAUACACAAGCUGAAGAUGGUGAGACUACUCUUAUUCAUGCAUGUACUCCUCUAAUUUGGGUUGCUGAUCAAAGAAGAAAAGUGGUAGCGGGGUCAUUGUCAUCUUUAUAGUCGUCAAUGCAGGAAGGUGCUAAAAUGAAUAUAGGCAUUGGUGGAGCAAAUCCUUUGCAUAUUGCUUUCGAUAAUGGGAGCUUAGAGACCUGCCUUCUUGCUGAGAAUUUUAGGGAAAAUAAUAUUUCGGAGCUCUUCAAAGAAAAGGAAGUGGCUCAAAGUAAGUAGUGAGCUGCUACAGAGAUGGAGCUAGAGAAAGAGAGGAAGUUUCUAUCCAUGCUUAUAAAUUAACAGAGGCCUAUAAAACUAUAAAGGCACUUGAAGAUUGGAGACUGUUAUUUCUUUUGUUGCAUUUACUUAAUUGGGCCAGACCGAGUGUAGGCCCAGAACUAUGUAUUUUCCUUAGGUUUGUUGCUUAAUGUUUAUUUGAGGGCCCUUUCCAUGACCUUAGUUGUUUCCGUAGGAUUCUUAUGAGGGUAGAGGUACCCAACGAUAUUCUGUGUAAGGCAUUCUGGAAUUCUGUUAGAGCAAUGGCAUCGGCUUAGCAAAAUGUGAAAAUAAAAA